AUCUACGGCCAUGCCACCCCGAACAAGCCCGAUCCCGACUGAUCUUGGAAGCUAAGCAGGGUCGGGCCUGGUUAGUACUUGGAUGGGAGACCACCCAGGAAGACCAGGUGCUGUAGGCG
rnacentral:rRNA from 1 species